AGGCGUCGAGCGGCGGACGGGUGAGUAAUGCAUAGGAAUCUGCCCGGUAGUGGGGGAUAACUUGGGGAAACUCAAGCUAAUACCGCAUACGCCCUACGGGGGAAAGCAGGGGAUCUUCGGACCUUGCGCUAUCGGAUGAGCCUAUGUCGGAUUAGCUAGUUGGUGAGGUAAUGGCUCACCAAGGCCGCGAUCCGUAGCUGGUCUGAGAGGAUGAUCAGCCACACUGGGACUGAGACACGGCCCAGACUCCUACGGGAGGCAGCAGUGGGGAAUAUUGGACAAUGGGCGAAAGCCUGAUCCAGCCAUGCCGCGUGUGUGAAGAAGGCCUUCGGGUUGUAAAGCACUUUCAGCGAGGAAGAAGGCUUUCGGGCUAAUACCCCGGAAGAAGGACAUCACUCGCAGAAGAAGCACCGGCUAACUCCGUG
rnacentral:rRNA from 1 species